AUGUUUGUUAAUUCCUAGAGGUGUCCAGUAAAAUACAUCUACACCCUCAUUUCCAACCAGACGAGGAGGCUGAAGUCCUUUGAACACCCACAGUUUCGUUUGGUAGACCUUUGUAGAUUUCUUUAUGUUUGUCAAAAUCUGAUCUGGACUUUCUCAACUACAUCCCGGUCAACUUAGCUGUGGAUGGAGUGGAGAUGAUGGUUUCCAGGAUUUCAUGGCCACACACUAAGAGUUUUAACAAGAGCGUCAAGGAGCUACUUCAAUGCUGGAAACACCCUACACUCCAAAACAACAUUUUCUUGAUUAAGACACUGCUCUAUUCCAACCAGAAACUAAAGACCCCUCUGCAAGCUGAAGCUUAACCCUUCAUGAUGUGAACAGGACCUCUUCAUCUUCAAAAAGCAAAGAUGCACCCACUAAACCUAGAUAUGAACAGAACUGGUGAGGGCUAAAGGCAAAAUGUAAAUUGAGCUCCAAGAUAUAACAAUCUAAUAUUUUUCACCUUGCAGUGGUAAAAAGCUGGUCUUCAUUUAGGCGUUGGGUUAAUUAGAAUCACCAAUUAACCCCUAAAAAUUUAAUGUCUUUGUACUGUGGCUGCAAAAAGGUCUCCAUUUUGGAGACAACACAUAAGGAUUUGAAGAAUGUGAAGACUCAAAAAGCAAACCACAACAAUCAGAUGCUGUUCCCUCAACCCAAAGACACAGGUAAAAGAAAUCCUCUUAUCCAAAAUCUCCGUACAGUAUAUAAUCCACCUCCUCUGCAGGAGAUUGUGUUGCAUUCUAAGGUGAGUCUGGCUGAAGCCAAAGACCAGGCUCCCCUCUCUCCGGAUUAUUCCACCUAUUGGAAAUCAGGAACCAAAUUGCCUUUGGAUGUUUCCCAGUCCACUAAGGCACAGACCCCUAAUACAUGAGGCAGGCCCAGAGAGGGUCUACUUGGCAGGCAAGAAUGGCCCUGAUAACUUUUUUCUUAACAAUAUAUUUUAGUGUCUCAGUUUUCAUUACAUGGAAUUUUUAGAAUCGAUUUUAAGAUGUCCUUUCAUCCUGGACCAAUUUGCCUUUGGGAAAUGCAAAAAGUGGCAAAGUGUCUCUGACAAUAUUUAAAGUCCUCCACUAGUGGAGGAAUUUGUUCGGUUACUUUUAAUAAUUGGAUGAAAAUCCUUCAACAUCACUAUGUGCUGCGUUUGUUUUCUUGACUUUCUCUUCCAGGUGUUUGUUUUUGCCAAGUUCCUUCAGAUGUUUUCUAGAUGUUUUUCUAACAAAGUCUCGUCUGGCCUUCUUGUUCUUGAGUGUACCAGAGGUUUGCAUCAUGAUACAAAACCCUCUGGAUUUCAAUGAAGGCAUCUCCUGUUUGUAAACGUUGAUGAGAUGCCUUCCUCUUCCAGAGUAUUCCAGACUUGGCUGAUGUUGUUUUUCGUUUUUUAAACAUAAAAAUAAUUCUGCCACUGCAUGUAGCUAGCUUAUUCUAAAGUUUUGUUUACCCAUGUGACAGAUUUAUUUUUUAAGCCUAAUGAUUGAUUUGUGAUAAAGCAAAUAUGUCAUGUCAAGGGAACAGGAGUCACAUGGCCUUGAAAAGUCUUGUCGGUCAAUUUUCUAAAUGACUUUUGAGCCUCUAGAAAUGGCUGUGUAAAAAGAACAAGGUGAAAGUAUGUAAUUCAAUCACAUAUUGAUUCUGUUAUUAAAAAUGUACUGUGGUGGUUUAAGCAUAACUAUGGAAAUUAUGUCUCUGUCAUGCGUCACCUAUGUGUGACCAGUAGAUGUAAAGCAUGUGAGCUAAUUCAGCCUUUAGCUGCUUAAAUUCACCAAGAAAGACAACGCCUUUCCAACUGUACUGACCCUGUAGUCAAAGGUCUACAUGAUAAAAUACGUUAAAGCAUAUGUGACACAACGGCAUAGACUGACUUGUGUUCUGGUCUAUAAUUAUUAACCCUUUUUCAAAAACAACAACCAAUGAUUAUUUAAUUGACAACAGGGAAUUUGAUUCAAUGUAAACACAUUUUGGCCAAAAAGAUGUGAGCUGAAGCUUUAGCUUCAGCCUAUGUUUUAUACAGAACACAUUCUAAAUGAAAUCCCUUUAUUGACUAGAUUUUAUCAAAGCAAACACCAAGAAAAAUGAUAAAUGAAUAAAUGAAUAGGUAGUAAAAAGAGAUAUAGAAGAGAUAGCUUAGUAGGUAGCUCCAUGAUUGGAAGGUCGGGGGUCCACCAAACAGCUACCCUGAGCAAGGUACCAUCCCUACACACUACUCCCUGGGUGCUGGAUUGGUGGCUGCCCACUACUUCACUGAGUGAAUGGGUUAAAUAAAGAGAGUACUUUCCCUACAGGGAAUUAAUAAUGAUGUAUAAUGAUGUAUAAUGAUCUUCACAUUAAAAGAAAAUCCAUACACACUCUAUUUCAAUAUCAUUUAGUUUUUUAAAGAAAAAAGAAAAAAUUAUUUUGCCACAUUAUAAAGGUUGUUUUGCUUUAGUGAUAAUUUAUUAAUUUCAACUGUUUCUUUCAAAAAUAUUAGCUCCCUUUCCACUUUAUUUUGAAGCUGUUCCAAACUUUACCCAUAUUUAGUGUAACUGACAAACAACAAUUUAGACACAUUACAUGUGUCAUUUAUUUAUAAAAUUUCCAGUUUAGAGCCCAGCACUGAAGGUUGUGGAACCUGACAAGUAACCUUAAACCAGAGUCAACAUUUCUUAUCUGUACAUGACGAGUUUUAUACAGAUGUGCUCAGUCAUGAGUGAGCUAGCAUCAGUCUAUCUUUUCAUUAGUAAUCUGUGAUCUGCCAUUUCACAUGCAUUUUUAAGAUCAAUAAACACCCCCAAAAUGUA